GACGAACCGUGCAAACGUUGUUCGGAAUCACUGGGCUUAAAGGGCGCGUAGGCGGGCCAGCCAGUCUGUGGUGAAAGCCUCCAGCUUAACUGGAGAAGUCGCCGUGGAUACUGCUGGCCUCGAGGAGGGUAGGGGCAUCUGGAACGGUCGGUGGAGCGGUGAAAUGCGUUGAUAUCGACCGGAACUCCGGUGGCGAAGGCG
rnacentral:rRNA from 1 species